rnacentral:rRNA from 1 species
AUUGAACGCUGGCGGCAGGCCUAACACAUGCAAGUCGAACGAGUGGCGGACGGGUGAGUAAUGUCUGGGAAACUGCCUGAUGGAGGGGGAUAACUACUGGAAACGGUAGCUACUACCGCAUACCAUCGGAUGUGCCCAGAUGGGAUUAGCUAGUAGGUGGGGUAACGGCUCACCUAGGCGACGAUCCCUAGCUGGUCUGAGAGGAUGACCAGCAACAAUGGAACUGAGACACGGUCCAGAAGCCGACGGGAGGCAGCAGUGGGGAAUAUUGCAGAAUGGGCGCAAGCCUGAUGCAGCCAUGCCGCGUGUAUGAAGAAGGCAGUCGGGGUGUAAAGUACUUUCAGCGGGGAGGCGUUACCCGCAGAAGAAGCACCGGCUAACUCCGUGCCAGCAGCCGCGGUAAUAC